rnacentral:ncRNA from 1 species
UAAAAAGCGCAGACAAGGAAAAAAGAUUCGUUUUCCAGGUUCAGAAAGCAGCCGGAUGAUGCAAGGCUGUCCGGAAUACGUAUCGAAACUCCCCUUCGAGCUGAAAGAGUGAAUACAGUAGUUCUUUCCGGGAUUUCCCGUUACAGAAACAGCGAUUGUCAGAUCGUGCGAAGCGGCUGCAGAUGAAUGCGGCAAGAAGAGUGGUACCGCGGAAAAUUCCGUCUCUUUG